GAUCGUCUAAUGGUAGGACACUAGGUUCUGGACCUAGGAAUCGGGGUUCGAGCCCCUGUCCCCGAGCCA
rnacentral:tRNA from 1 species